UAGCAGAUGUGGAGUCGCAACAAGAUUGGCAGCACCAUCAGCUACCUGAUUUCCCUCCCGAUAUGUGUAUGAGAGCUGUCAUCAAAUCCCAGUGACUAUGAAUGCAAGGAUGAGCCAUAAUAGAGAAGGAGACAACAUAAAACAAUGGAUUUUCUAUUCGACAGGCAUCUUUACUUGAUUGAAACUAUACCUUUCUCGGCCUUUUGGCUAAGAUCAAGUGGAACCCAGAAGCUUGUUUACCAGAAAUUAAUUACAGGCACACAAACAAUGGAGACUCCAUCUGCUAGUCCCUUAACAUACGUAUAAAAGAAUUAGCCAUAACCAGAACUGUACCUUAACUGAUAAUUUUGCCUUAAUAUAGGUUGAUAAAUUAACAAAUGCUGAAAAUCCUAUAUCAUUUUCGAAAAGCCAGAGUAGGAGAAAUCUUGGCCAAAAUCAGGACGAGGACGGGAUACAAAUCUAGGGUUUCCAUGCUGACACCUUAGAACUUCACCAAUUACACUAGUUGGCACUCUUUAAAUCACAUGGAAUUGAGCACAAUCAAAUAAAAUCCAUAAGAUUCAGAGCCUAUUCAAGUUGAUUGGAAGGAGAAUGAUCCUUUUAGUUCCUUGGUGGGCGUCAUUCAGAUUUCAGGAUAGCCUAGUUUUGCUUCUUCAGCUUCCUCAUCACAAUUUGCAAGUCAACAUCUGAAAAAUAAAUGAAGAUCACUCAAAGGCCACAUAUAUACCAAGUAGCUAAAAUAAAUCUCCCUUAUGGUGCCAUUAGACGUGUGUGUUUGGUUAGAGACAUGGACAUGGACACGCUUCACUGAAAUCCAACUGAAAUAGCCACACAAGGGUUGCAUACCUAGCACGUAGCUUCUCUAACGCUCCCAACCAUUAAUGCUUCAAAAGUGAAAGAAUUAACGCUUCAAAAGUGAAAGGACCUCUCUGUUCCUGUGAUAAGAAAAUUUGUCCCUUGUGUAUGCCAUUUUGUGGUCCGUGGUCGGAGGCGAGGCAACGUCAACCGAAGGGACCGCAAAUCUAUGAAGAAUUCUGCGGCAAGGGAGCACAAUCAUGGCUUCUAUGCGGCAGAAAUGCUUCGAAAGACUCUCUCACGACGACGGCAGAGUCUCUCUCACACAAGGAGAAGGCGAGGGCAUGUAGAUUCUCUCGAGUAGCUCUUCAUCCGACCCUCCUGACCCCGGUAGAGCCCCAGCCUUUUGGUAAAGAAGUUUGUGGCCCGGUCUGGAUGGAGUGGAGAACCAAAUUCGCCUGGUGAUUGACGUAAAGAAUGCUUGGAUCUGUG
rnacentral:lncRNA from 1 species